ACAUUGGUAGUUCAGUGGUGAAUUCUUGCCUUCCAUGCAGGAAACUUGGCUUCGAUUCCCAGCCAAUGUA
rnacentral:tRNA from 1 species